rnacentral:rRNA from 1 species
CCUACGGGCGGCAGCAGUGAGGAAUAUUGGUCAAUGGGCUUACGCCUGAACCAGCCAAGUCGCGUGAGGGAAGACUGCCCUAUGGGUUGUAAACCUCUUUUGUCAGGGAGCAACGCCGGCUACGUGUAGCCGGACUGAGAGUACCUGAAGAAAAAGCAUCGGCUAACUCCGUGCCAGCAGCCGCGGUAAUACGGAGGAUGCGAGCGUUAUCCGGAUUGAUUGGGUUUAAAGGGUGCGUAGGCGGAAUGCCAAGUCAGCGGUAAAAUCGCGGGGCUCAACCUCGCUCCGCCGUUGAAACUGGCGUUCUUGAGUGGGCGAGAAGUAUGCGGAAUGCGUGGUGUAGCGGUGAAAUGCAUAGAUAUCACGCAGAACUCCGAUUGCGAAGGCAGCAUACCGGCGCCCAACUGACGCUGAAGCACGAAAGCGUGGGUAUCGAACAGGAUUAGAUACCCGGGUAGUC